UACAGAGGUCUCAAGCGUUGUUCGGAUUCAUUGGGCGUAAAGGGUGUGUAGGUGGCGCCGUAAGUCGGGUGUGAAAUUUCGGAGCUUAACUCCGAAACUGCAUUCGAUACUGGCGUGCUUGAGGACUGGAGAGGAGACUGGAAUUCAUGGUGUAGCAGUGAAAUGCGUAGAGAUCAUGAGGAAGACCAGUGGCGAAGGCGGGUCUCUGGACAGUUCCUGACGCUGAGGCACGAAGGUCAGGGGAGCAAACGGG
rnacentral:rRNA from 1 species